GGUCUGCUAGCUCAGUUGGUUAGAGCGUCGUACUAAUAUUCUAGCAAUAGAAUCUGAGUAAUGCGAAGGUCAUGAGUUCGACCCUCAUGUGGACCA
rnacentral:tRNA from 1 species